GAUUGUUGAUCCUGGCUCAGAUUGAACGCUGGCGGGCAUGCUUUACACAUGCAAGUCGAACGGUAACAGGCCUUUCGGGUGCUGACGAGUGGCGAACGGGUGAGUAAUGCAUCGGAACGUGCCCAGUCGUGGGGGAUAACGCAGCGAAAGCUGCGCUAAUACCGCAUACGAUCUGUGGAUGAAAGCGGCGGACCUUCGGGCCUCGCGCGAUUGGAGCGGCCGAUGUCAGAUUAGGUAGUUGGUGGGGUAAAGGCUCACCAAGCCGACGAUCUGUAGCUGGUCUGAGAGGACGACCAGCCACACUGGGACUGAGACACGGCCCAGACUCCUACGGGAGGCAGCAGUGGGGAAUUUUGGACAAUGGGGGCAACCCUGAUCCAGCAAUGCCGCGUGCAGGAAGAAGGCCUUCGGGUUGUAAACUGCUUUUGUACGGAACGAAAAGGCUCUGGUUAAUACCUGGGGCACAUGACGGUACCGUAAGAAUAAGCACCGGCUAACUACGUGCCAGCAGCCGCGGUAAUACGUAGGGUGCAAGCGUUAAUCGGAAUUACUGGGCGUAAAGCGUGCGCAGGCGGUGCUGUAAGACAGGCGUGAAAUCCCCGGGCUUAACCUGGGAAUGGCGCUUGUGACUGCAGUGCUGGAGUGUGGCAGAGGGGGAUGGAAUUCCGCGUGUAGCAGUGAAAUGCGUAGAUAUGCGGAGGAACACCGAUGGCGAAGGCAAUCCCCUGGGCCUGCACUGACGCUCAUGCACGAAAGCGUGGGGAGCAAACAGGAUUGGAUACCCUGGUAGUCCACGCCCUAAACGAUGUCAACUGGUUGUUGGGUCUUUUCUGACUCAGUAACGAAGCUAACGCGUGAAGUGACCGCC
rnacentral:rRNA from 1 species